rnacentral:rRNA from 1 species
GUUGAACGCUGGCGGCAGGCCUAACACAUGCAAGUCGGGCGGGGUUUUCGGACCUAGCGGCGGACGGGUGAGUAAUGCGUAGGAAGCUGCCCGAUAGAGGGGGAUACCAGUUGGAAACGACUGUUAAUACCGCAUAAUGUCUACGGACCAAAGUGUGGGACCUUCGGGCCACAUGCUAUCGGAUGCGCCUACGUGGGAUUAGCUAGUUGGUGAGGUAAUGGCUCACCAAGGCGACGAUCUCUAGCUGGUUUGAGAGGAUGAUCAGCCACACUGGAACUGAGACACGGUCCAGACUCCUACGGGAGGCAGCAGUGGGGAAUAUUGGACAAUGGGCGCAAGCCUGAUCCAGCCAUGCCGCGUGUGUGAAGAAGGCCUUCGGGUUGUAAAGCACUUUCAGCGAGGAGGAAGGGGUGUGUGUUAAUAGUACACACCUUUGACGUUACUCGCAGAAGAAGCACCGGCUAACUCUGUGCCAGCCGCCGCCGUAAGAC